GACGAACGCUGGCGGCGUGCCUAAUACAUGCAAGUUGAGCGCUGAAGGUUGGUACUUGUACCAACUGGAUGAGCAGCGAACGGGUGAGUAACGCGUGGGGAAUCUGCCUUUGAGCGGGGGACAACAUUUGGAAACGAAUGCUAAUACCGCAUAAAAACUUUAAACACAAGUUUUAAGUUUGAAAGAUGCAAUUGCAUCACUCAAAGAUGAUCCCGCGUUGUAUUAGCUAGUUGGUGAGGUAAAGGCUCACCAAGGCGAUGAUACAUAGCCGACCUGAGAGGGUGAUCGGCCACAUUGGGACUGAGACACGGCCCAAACGCCUACGGGAGGCAGCAGUAGGGAAUCUUCGGCAAUAGACGAAAGUCUGACCGAGCAACGCCGCGUGAGUGAAGAAGGUUGUCGGAUCGUAAAACUCUGUUGGUAGAGAAGAACGUUGGUGAGAGUGGAAAGCUCAUCAAGUGACGGUAACUACACAGAAAGGGACGGCUAACUACGUG
rnacentral:rRNA from 1 species